AUGUGCGUUGGUAUGUGCAUGUUUGUGUGUUUUGUAUAUUUUAAUUUGUAUUUUUGACUGAUAAAUGUAUUUUUAUUGACUGUCGUAGAAUCUGGGAGAAAGAAUCAUUUUUUAUGCUACGUGUUAAUUUUUUUCGAUUUAAAAAAUAAUUUAAAAAAGAGAAAUGUUGAAUUUUGCUUCGAUUUGUAAUUGAGUUGCGUGUUCGUUUGUCCUUUUUUGUUUGUGUUUUUUUUUUAUGUGUUAUUUUUAUCCUGUUUGACUUUUUAUCUUAUGUUUAGAUGUAUGGUGUUUGUUUUUUAAGGUGUAAGCGAUUUUAACAUUCAUUUAUUUUAAUAUAAUGAUUUUCCAUUUUAAUUAAUUUUCAUUCAUGGUAAUAUAAUGUUUUCUUUUAGAAAUUUUGAUCCAGAGUAGGUUAAUGGCACGCCAGUUUAUUAUGAUAGCAGGGAAAUCAUUUGAGAUAAAAUUGUACUGUGCGGUUGCGUAAUACAAGGAUAUCAGCGACUGGUUAUGUAUGCAUUAAAGUUUGGAUUGCAAUAAUAAAUUAUUUUGUAAUUUAUUCCUUAAUGUAAUGUAAACUAAUGUAAAUAUUGAUUUUGAACGGAUUUUAAAUUCAUUACCCCAAUAUUAUUCAUCUCAUAUUGUAAAUAAAACAGAACAGUUCAAACAAAGUGUUGGCAUGAUCUUAUUUAAAAAAUUUUAAACAUGUGAUGCUAAUAAUUAGCAUAGAUAGAUAAUAAAAAAUGGUAUUAGAAAACUAUGUAUUGACAUAUCCUCUUUGACGUGGCUAAAUGAUACUAGAGUCAAUCAUACAGCUAUAAGACAGAAAGAUAUUGAAUGCUUUUGAUAUCAAUUUAUUUAUUGGGUGUUACAUUUCUUUUUUUGACAAAAUACAUGGAAACAGUUGUAACAAAAACAUCCUUUAAAGUGGCACGGUGACUCAAAACAGAUGUUCUACAUUUUGAUUAUGAUAAGGGAAAUAGAAAGAGCUACUCAAAAUUUCAUUACAUGUAUACGGAAUGUUUUACGCCUCUUAAGUCAUAAACUAUCAAUUUACAGGUCAUUAACACUCAUCCGGAAAUUGCACAUGUUAACAAACCGAGUUAUUCUGGACAUUGGUUUAGUGUCAUGUGAUUGCGAAUUCCGCUGAAAAACGAAUUCAAAUUUAAGCUAUUCGAUUUCUGAGAUAUAAAUGGAGACCUCUCACGAGGAAGAUAUGGAUUUUGAGGACAGAUUCAGCUCAGAUGUACAACGUUUUACAUUGACAGCAAUAUGAAUCAGAAUGUGUCAUGCUAAACAUGUUAUUCACUGUUUGUAAUUAAAAUGUUGUAUGAUUGUCUGAAAAAAUAACGACACGAUAAUAAGGAUGAUUACGAAGAAGCAGAUGAUGUUGAUUUAGAGCCUGAGGAGGACUCAUCAGAAGUAAAUAGUAUGUGGAAUGCCACAAGUGAGGACAUCAGUGAUGAGCAGAAGCUUCUAAGAGAAAGAAGAUUCCUUGUCUGCAAGAUUGCCCUCCUUGAUCUUAUCAAAAGGUCAACAGGUGUAGAGAGUGGGCAAGCAGUCAACCCAGAUAGUGUGGUUGAAGGAGAACAGAUUAAGUACAAGUUUA